rnacentral:rRNA from 1 species
UACGUAGGGGGCAAGCGUUGUCCGGAUUUAUUGGGCGUAAAGAGCUCGUAGGCGGUUGGGCAAGUCACGUGUGAAAUCUCCACGCUCAACGUGGAGGCGCCACGUGAGACUGCCCUGACUCGAGUCCGGUAGGGGAGCGUGGAAUUCCCGGUGUAGCGGUGAAAUGCGCAGAUAUCAGGAGGAACACCAAUGGCGAAGGCAGCACUCUGGGACGUGACUGACGCUGAGACGCGAAAGCGUGGGGAGCAAACAGG